GGACCCAUAGCUCAAUGGUAGAGCAUUCGACUCUUAAUCGACAGGUUGAAGGUUCAAGUCCUUCUGGGUCCACCA
rnacentral:tRNA from 4 species